rnacentral:tRNA from 1 species
GCCUGGCUGGCUCAGUGGGUGGAGUAUAUGAUUCUUGAUCUCAAGGUUGUGGGUUCAAGUCCCACUAGGUA